CUUGAUGGUGAAAUAAGAAGUGACAGAGCAGAAGUAAACAGUGAUCAUGAACUUGAAAGUAGCACUCAAAUUCAUAACCAUGUCAAUAUCCAGGACACAAAUAGCAGUCCUAAUGAAGAGAUGCUGCAGCUCAGAGUCAGCAACAACUCAAUGUACUCUCAAUAUAAAUGCAACAAACUCCCCAAAACAUUCCAAAGUAUUCAAGAACUUCAAUAUUCCCAUACAUCCCUACACGGCCACCAAUGGCAUCACAUGCUGCCAGCUGAAAAAGAUGAACAUAUUAAGCUGUCAAACACAGAAAAUAAGACUCCUAGUAAACUGACUCGCUCAAUCAGAGAUGCAGCAUUUGUUCCAUUAGCCUUUCAAGGACAGUCCUUACUUGACAUGCUCAGAUCCUUUGUUUCCUGAGUUUCAUGCCCACAUUUAGGGCAAGGAGGCUCUUUUCCCUUUUCUUGCUUAAAAACCUUGCUUCGGGUGUGAUCAUCACAGAAACAAGCCUGAAGGGUGAAAAAGAGGAUAAUGAAAAGGAUAAAAGUUAUAGUCAUAACAUAAUACUCUUCAGGAAGCAGCAGGCAAAAAAAAAGUUAAAUUUCUAACAGCACCAGGGUAAUCUGGCUGAGAUUAAAAUUUAACUAGUUCUUUCUAUAGUGGGACUGGAAUUCAUGUACAAUCUAUCCACUAACUGCUUCUGUGCUGGACAAGGUUCCACUGCCUUCUAAGGAAGGGAAGCCAGGAGGAUGCUGGAACUGGGAAAAGAGGAUGGUGGCAGAGGAAGCAGGGUCCUCAAGCAGGGUCCCUGUCUUGGAAGUUGUCAGCCAGGAGGCUGGCCUCAGUCAAUGGGAGCACUGUCUGAUAGACCUCAGCCAUAUGGGUAUUGGGUUAGUCCAACAAGUUAAAAGAAAACAAAAUUAAACUUCAAAUGUCUGUCUUGCAGGGCAGUGUGUUCACUGUCCUGCUAAAUGGAACCUCUCCCUCCCACAGUCAGUCGGUUUGUAAUUAAAAGAAGACACCAAUGUGAAUUAGUACUAAUUAAGCACCAACAGUGUCCUCAGCACUGUCCAGGACACCUCAAUAAAGACAGUUCCUGCUCUGAACUCUGAGGAGCACACAGUAAGAAUAGGAGACUGAGAGAAUGGGGUUAAGUAGAUUGAUUUUUAUUUAUUUAAAUUGCUCCCCUAAUGAAAAAUGUUGGGGUAGACAGUACAUUUGAUUUGAUGUAAGACUUUAGGCAUGAUCCAAAAGAGGAAAAGGUGGAGGCCUGGGAUACUGGAAUGGGAGAAUCAUACGCUCCGUGCAGAGGAAACAGCAUUGAAGACUGUAUGAAAAUGGGAGCAGGAAACAACUGAGAAGAGCCUGGCUACACUAACAGAACUGAAGGAUGCAGCGGGUAGAUACGGUGUGUUUGUGGGGGUAGAGGAAAAUAAUACCAAGUGAGCUGAGAGAUGCAGGCCCUCAAAAGCAAAAAUGAGAAAUUUAAAAACUUAAGUGCUGGACAAAAGGUUCAUUAAAAGUAAUGGCUCUUACCUCAUACAGAAGGUAUGAGUUUUCUAUAUAUUGUGGAGGGAGAUGUGACAAGACUUGGUACCAGAAGGACAUGUAAGGAGAAGGAGUUACAAUUAUAGUUACUUUAAGUAUCUAUAUUUUUACCUUACAACGCAGGCAUGAAUGCUGCCCAAGCCGAUUACAGGAAACACCUGAUGAAAAAAUGGAUAACAUCAAUCUUUAAAAAUGAAAGAUGUUCCAGCUGAUCCACAAGGAAUCUGGGGAAGUGCAGCCAUGCUAGACAGAGCCAACCUUAUUUCUGAGGGACCGACAAGAAAAACUCCUGUUGCCUAACCAGCUGGGAUAAUUCAACUGGACAAGUGAAAUACCAGGCCAUUUUUCACCACCUAAGCAGAAUGUGCCCAUGUAUCCGCUUGGGCUAUCAGUGGGCUCGUUCCACUUGAGGGGCAUGUGGUUUGAGGGGAGAUGAAGGUAAGGCAUAAUACCUCUUUCACUUUUACACCCAGUAGCUAGAAAUGUAUCCAGAUUCUAAUCAAGUCCUUUCAAUAUUCAGCUCACGUUCUCGGCAUUCACUUCUGCAGGACUUAAUCUAAUCAACUGUGCUUUGGUUUUGCUGUUUUAUUUUUUCCAUUAAUGUCUUGAAUCUUAUGCAUGAAAAAUAGCUUUCUCCCCUAUAAUUUAUGGAUAUGAUCUUGCAGCCUUGUUGACAUAUAUGAGAUAAUGCUCUGGCAAAAAUACAAUUUCUCAAAUCAAAAACCACUCAAGCUAUUCUUACAGCUUAAAUCAACUAUUUAGAUUUUAUAACAAACUCUAUACUAGAACUCUGACCUCUUAAGAUAGUAAAGGUCAUAUAACAUAUGAAAAGUAAGGCAAAAAUUAAGUAAACCGUUUAUAACCAAUUUAAUUUUACAGUCAAAGUUACAAGACUACACAAACUACAAACCUCAAUAAACUGCAAUUUUAAUAUUUAACAGACAGAAGAUUUCCUACCUCACAUAUGAGAGCAACUUCACAAUAUACUGUAUGCAUAGAGAUUUAAUGGAGUUACAUCAACAUAAAACUGACAUUUUGGAGUGGAGAAUCAGGCCCAGAGAGUUAAGAUUCAAUGAAAAAUCUGUUAUAUUUAAGGCACAAAAUGAUUUUGUUAUUGCAAACAGUCCACUACCUAGAGGAGGCAGCUGCAGGGAUAUAUUUUCAUAAAUUUUCCACACAGGAGCACCAUCCCCCUAAAUUUUAAAUUUUUAAGAAUUUCUUUUGCAAUAUUCCCAUUUACAAAGAAUACUUUGGGUAUUUCAAAGGGACUUAUCACCUAACUAUAUAAGGGAUGAAAAGGGAAAAAUAAGCUACUGAUUUACAGAACAAUCACUGUAAAUAAAAUUAUUUAUGGUUAAACAUUGUUCUCAGUGACUGCAUUCUAAAAAUCUACAAACCUCCAUUAGCUUCAAUGGCAUUAAUCUAGAUUUAUACCAGUUGAAUGGAGAGUGGAAUGUGCCCUUUAUUUAUUUAGGCUCCAAUCCUGUACAUGCUUAACUUUACUUAUGUGAA